ACGUAAAGAAUGUAUUAUACGUGAAAAAAUGUAAUAAACAUAAUAAAGAUGGUAGACUCGGAUGGAGCUGAAUAUAUCCUCACUUUUUAAAUUAUGCUUAUGUUUGCCUGAAGACUUGAAAUCUGUAGCUCUGUUCCUGAUCAUUAAAUUUUUUUCUAAAAUGAUGCUAAACAAAAAUAAAUCAAGGAUAGUCAAUAUCCCAUGGAAAGAUAUAAAUUUUAAGUGUAUAAAAAUAAAAGUGAAUAACAAGGAUCAGUUUGCAGCUGAAUGUUUAUUUUGUAAUAAUUUAUUACGCAACAUUGGAUACAAGCGCCUUUUGGGUCAUAGGAAUGUAUGCAAAGGAUAGAACACUCGAGAUGACAAUUCGAAAAAUAUGGUAUUGCCGAAAAUAAUAUGGACAUAUCAGAAAGACGACCAGAAAACACUUCGAGCUCUAGACUAACUAAUGAGGAGAGCCCAAUGCAAAUUAACAACAAUGAACCAGAAACAGGACUAGAACCAUUUCCUACCAUCGCAAGUCAAGAAAAAUGACAGUCAAAUAUAAACUAUCAGACAGAACAAAGAAAACUGCGGACACGUGCUCCAGAACCGCUAAAUUUCGGAUUCAAGGAAAGCUUAUCCGAAUUCGAUGAAGCUUUAGGGAUGUUUUUUUUUUAGUUGUGGCAUUACAUUCUCUGUUGUCGAAUCCGAAUAUUUCUUGAAAUUCGUUUGCAAGUUGAAUCCCAAGUAUCAUCCACCUACAAGAAGAACUUUAAGUGAUUCAAUUUUGGACAGAAUCCAUGAGAAAGUAACAAAGAAAAAUGAUCUUUCCGAAAAUCACAAGAGAGUUUUUCUUAUUGACGGUUGGAAAAAUUCUGUUAAGAACGAAAAAUUGGUAGUGACGACAAUCCACAAUGCAGAUGAUAAAAGAUUAUUUGUCGAUACUUGGGAUUUUACUGAAAAAUCCUGAAGUGCUGAGGCUUUGACUUGAUGAUUUGCAUGGGCAAAAAAAUUGAUCACUGGCAUUUCACGUGCAACAGCCAUAGCGGCAAUCUAUUAGCCAACGACCUUGUUGAUUCUGUAAAAAUGUGUUAAAUUUUGUAAUACCUUUCGAUGGAAUAUGCGAACUGAUUAAUAAAUGUCAGCAAUCAAACUUCAACAUCGCUGAUUCGUUAGAAGAGUGGCUGAAGUUGCAGUUUCCAUUUUGCAAAGAAGAAUAUGAGUUCGCUUUAGAAUCUCGGUUGAAGAAAGUUGUAAAACCAAUCACCCUCGCUUCUAACAUUUUGCACCCUCUUUAUGAGGGCAAAUUGUUCGAUGACAAUCAAAAAUACAAAGAAAUGGCUCUAAUUUUUUUAUAAGAGAAUGUGGAUGCAGAUGGACUCAAGGAUUUGUCUGCUUAUGAGGAAAAAACUGCAAUUUUUUUUCGUCUCGAGAAAAAAGGUGUCACAUGUCCAGAAACAUUUUGGACCUUUGCAGCGCCUCGGCAUCCUAAUUGUCGGAAUAGGCGAGAAAAUUUCUACGGAUUCCUAGUUCUACUGCAGCAAUUGAGAGACUUUUCACAGUGGUGGUUCAUCCACAAAAAGCUACGCA